rnacentral:rRNA from 1 species
GGUUGAUCCUGCCAGUCUGCAAAGCUUGACUUGGAAAUUAAGCCAUGCAUGUCUUAGUAUAAGUAUUAUAAAGCGAAACUGCGAAUGGCUCAUUACAACAGUUGUAAUUUAUUUGAUGAUUUUCUUACAUGGAUAACCGUGGGAAACUAGGGCUAAUACAUGCAUAAGGCCUGAGAAGGUCGUAUUUAUUAGUUUCAAACCAAUGCAGCCAACUGCAUUGUGAGGAAUCAAGAUAACUGAUCGAAGCUCAAAUUUGAGCUAAAUCAUUCAAGCUUCUGACCUAUCAGCUUGUU